UUUAUCCAUUUAUCAAUAUGUUUUAGAUAGAGCUAUACCAUUAGUGUGUUCAUGGAUUUCAGUUUGUAUUGACUGCUGUGUGGGUGUAAUUGAACAUGAACUUGAACUAGACCUAAACUGCUAGUUUCUGUAGGCUGACUCGUUUUCAGUGGAUCUGUUUAGGCUGCCUUCUACAGUAGAUUGUGUCUCUGUGGCCUGUUCUCUCUCUCCAGACUGCAGGAGGCUUGUGGCUGGGUGGAUGAGCUGGGAGCCAGGGGGGGAUGUAACCUCCUCCAGGCCCUSAAGAGAGGCCUUGGCCUGGGCUGCACUCAGCUUGACUCCCUGGUCAUCGUCCUGGGCUCCAGCCCUGACCAGACCUCAGAUGYCCUCUCUGAUUACGUAGGACAAAGCAUUUUGGGAAGGGCGUUGUUGAUCCAUGUGGUGUCCUACUGUAGCAUUAGCCCUCUGACCAUUGCAACCGUAAAGAGACUAGCUGAAGUUACACGGGGACGCCACCACAUCUUCUCAGCUUCCCUGGGUGUAGUGGACAGCAGUACAGAUGUGGAGCUGCUGUGGACAGAGAUCAAGGCAGCCAGAGAGCUGCUGGGACACACUGAGGCCCUGCGUCAGGGACGGCUGGGGGAGAUGAAUGUCACUGUGGUGGGACAACAGAUUUCCACAGAGUUGGACAGCUUUUCACUCUCUCCUUCGCUCCCCAGACCACCCAAUCACAAUGUCCCCCUGAGCAUCAAGCCCCCAGGUGUCCUGCCCAGCUCCUCGGCUGAUUGGCUGAGGAACCAU